rnacentral:rRNA from 1 species
GUGCUGAUAGGUACACGACCGUACCGCAAACCGACACUGGUGCGCGAGAUGAGUAUUCUAAGGCGCUUGAGAGAACUCAGGAGAAGGAACUCGGCAAAUUGACACCGUAACUUCGGAAGAAGGUGUGCCUUUAGUAGGUGAAGUCCCUCGCGGAUGGAGCCCAAUGAGGUUGCAAAAAAUCGGUGGCUGCGACUGUUUAUUAAAAACACAGCACUCUGCAAACACGAAAGUGGACGUAUAGGGUGUGACGCCUGCCCGGUGCUGGAAGAUUAAAUGAUGGGGUGCAAGCUCUUGAUUGAAGUCCCAGUAAACGGCGGCCGUAACGAUAACGGUCCUAAGGUAGCGAAAUUCCUUGUCGGGUAAGUUCCGACCUGCACGAAUGGCGUAACGAUGGCCACACUGUCUCCUCCUGAGACUCAGCGAAGUUGAAAUGUUUGUGAUGAUGCAAUCUCCCCGCGGAAAGACGGAAAGACCCCAUGAACCUUUACUGUAGCUUUGUAUUGGACUUUGAACAGAUCUGUGUAGGAUAGGUGGGAGGCUUUGAAGCAGGGUCGCUAGAUCUUGUGGAGCCAACGUUGAAAUACCACCCUGGUGUGUUUGAGGUUCUAACCUAGGCCCGUAAUCCGGGUUGGGGACAGUGCAUGGUAGGCAGUUUGACUGGGGCGGUCUCCUCCCAAAGUGUAACGGAGGAGUUCGAAGGUACGCUAGUUACGGUCGGACAUCGUGACGAUAGUGCAAUGGCAUAAGCGUGCUUAACUGCGAGACUGACAAGUCGAGCAGAUGCGAAAGCAGGACAUAGUGAUCCGGUGGUUCUGUAUGGAAGGGCCAUCGCUCAACGGAUAAAAGGUACUCUGGGGAUAACAGGCUGAUACCGCCCAAGAGUUCAUAUCGACGGCGGUGUUUGGCACCUCGAUGUCGGCUCAUCUCAUCCUGGGGCUGUAGCCGGUCCCAAGGGUAUGGCUGUUCGCCAUUUAAAGAGGUACGUGAGCUGGGUUUAAAACGUCGUGAGACAGUUUGGUCCCUAUCUUCCGUGGGCGCUGCAGAUUUGAGGAAGCCUGCUCCUAGUACGAGAGGACCGGAGUGGACGCACCUCUGGUGUAUCGGUUGUCACGCCAGUGGCAUUGCCGAGUAGCUUUGUGCGGAAGAGAUAACCGCUGAAAGCAUCUAAGCGGGAAACUCGUUUCAAGAUGAGAUCUGCCGGGGCCUUGAGCCCCCUGAAGAGUCGUUCAAGACCAGGACGUUGAUAGGUCGGGUGUGGAAGCGCAGUAAUGCGUUAAGCUAACCGAUACUAAUUGCUCGUGCGGCUUGAUC